UGCCAGCCGCCGCGGUAAUACGGAGGGGGCGAGCGUUGUUCGGAAUUACUGGGCGUAAAGGGCGCGUAGGCGGCGAAGUCAGUCAGGUGUGAAAGCCCGGGGCUCAACCCCGGAAUAGCACUUGAUACUGCUUUGCUCGAGACCGGAAGAGGGUAGUGGAAUUCCCAGUGUAGAGGUGAAAUUCGUAGAUAUUGGGAAGAACACCAGUGGCGAAGGCGGCUACCUGGUACAUUUCUGACGCUGAGGCGCGAAAGCGUGGGGAGCAAACAGGAUUAGAUA
rnacentral:rRNA from 1 species